GUGACGGUACCUCCAGAGAAAGCCCCGGCUAACUCCGUGCCAGCAGCCGCGGUAAUACGGGGGGGGCGAACGUUGUCCGGAAUUAUUGGGCGUAAAGGGCGCGUAGGCGGGAAGGUCAGUCAGAGGUGAAAGCUUGUGGCUUAACUAGCAGUUUGCCUUUGAUACUGCCAUUCUUGAGUUCGGAAGAGGGAAGUGGAAUUCCUGGUGUAGCGGUGAAAUGCGUAGAUAUCAGGAAGAACACCAGUGGCGAAGGGCGGCUUCCUGGUCCGAUACUGACGCUGAUGCGCGAAAGCGUGGGGAGCAAACAGGAUUAGAUACCCUGGUAGUCCACGCUGUAAACGAUGGGUACUAGGUGUUGGGUUUAAUUACUCAGCGCACGGAGCUAACGCAUUAAGUACCCCGCCUGGGGAGUACGAUCGCAAGAUUGAAACUCAAAAGGAAUUGACGGGGGCCCGCACAAGCGGUGGAGCAUGUGGUUUAAUUCGAUGCAACGCGAAGAACCUUACCUGGGCUUGAACUGUAGGUGACGUAUCCUGAAAGGGAUAUUCUCUUCGGAGCACCUAUAGAAGGUGCUGCAUGGCUGUCGUCAGCUCGGUGCCGUGAAGGUGUUUUGGGUUAAAGUCCCGCCAACGGAAGGCCGCCAAAACCCCCCUGGUUUCCUAGGUUGCCAGCAUUUAAGGUGGGAACUCUAGGGAGACUGCCCCGGACAACGGGGAGGAAGUGGGGAUGACGUCAAGUCAUCAUGCCUACGUCCAGGCUACACACGUGCUACAAUGGCCGGUACAACGGGAAGCAAAGCUGCAAAGUGGAGCGGAUCCCUUAAACCGGCUCAGUUCGGAUUGUAGUCUGCACUCGACUGCAUGAAGUCGGAAUCGCUAGUAAUCGCGGAUCAGCAUGCCGCGGUGAUACGUUCCCGGGCAUUGUACACACCGCCCGUCACGCCAUGGAAGUCGAUAGCACCCGAAGCCGGUGGCCCAAUCUUCGGAGGGGAGCCGUCGAAGGU
rnacentral:rRNA from 1 species